GAGGGUAACAGCUGAGACCGAGAGGAAGGAGGAGGAACAGCCUGGGUUGACUGUGGUCACUUGGAACAGGGUGAGUUUGGGAGACAUCAGAGUAGAACUGUCCAAUGGCUAGCGCCCAGGGGACAGAAGUCUGGGCUAAAGACAAAGAUUUAGGAUGGAUGAACCAUUAACAUGGUGAGGUCAUUCAGGGAGUGUGGGAAGGACUAAAAGAAGGCUUCCGGGGGUCACCAGAGGCCACUGCAGGCCAGAAAGCCAAGAACAAGACACUGCCUAAACUGAGGCUGAGAAUCUGAACUGCACCACUACAGGAUGCCUUCAGCUUCAAGCCUUAUCAUUCAAAGGGGUCCCGGCUCCCAGCCCCGGCUCCAGGGCAAGGUCGCCUGGAUCUGAUUCCAAAACAGCCAAGGUCAGAUGGGCUCCGCCCCAUCUGGAGCUGAGUUUAGCUGGGUCCUUAGGUUUUAUACACCCUCGCUUCAGGCCCGCCUCUGCGCCCGCCCUCUAAGCAUGUGCACCUAGUGUUUGUGUUAGGAGACUUUCUUCCAUUUCCCCAACAUUUGCAGCUCGACCGCAUCUUCUCCUGCAGGGACAAUCUAUCAGGCUCUGCACAAGAGCCUAUUCCCAAGGGUCUGGAACUAUUGCAGCUCGCUCACUAUACACUUACAGAUCUCUCAGCAUAGGGGUUUCCCCACCGCUUAGCUGCGCCUCCCCGUGCUGAGUGCGCGCAGGGCGGGCGCAUGCGCACCCGAGAAGACUGCCCCCUUUAGCUGCUAGGCUUGUGCAAGACAAAACCGGAAGUAUGUCCAGCUUUAGCACAAGAGCUACGCCUGGCCUUUGUUUAGGUCUCCAAGGCUGGGCAAAGGUUCUAGGUAUCCUCCUGGUACAGAAUAUCAAAAGUCCUAGGGCAGACCGGUUUUUGUAUUGUUUUCUGAGACAAGGUCUCCCGGAGUAGACCUUGCUGGCCUUUAACUCACCCUUCCUGCCUUUGCCUCUGGAGGGCUGGGAGCAAAGGCAUGUACCAGCACAGCAGGCUUUUUGGGAGCGGGGAUGUGAACAGCUGUUUUAAGACAGUGUGGCACCAGGCCGGUCUCAAAUCCAGUAAGCUCAAGAUGACCUUGAUCACUAGGGAUGCAAAAUGGCUGUUUUGUUUCAGCCUGAGCUAAUGGAAAAACCUGGCAACUGCUGUGCAGAGUUCUUCAUCACUUCCAGGAUGGUCCCACCAUCACCUCCCCACCAGGCUGUUCCAUGUCUCUGCUGACCUAACUCCUGGAGCAAGAGGGAUCUACGUUAUGUGAAGGAACCCCACUCCUAUUGAACCUUUUGUAGUGGAAGCCCUGUCCUAGUUGCUGUAACAUUUGCCAAUAGGAAUCAAGAGUUUGCAGGAGGCAUCCUCCAGUCCCAGACCCCUGGAUGACGGUACACAGUCAAUUCUUUCACCAUCAGACAACCUGAAGUGGGCAACACAGUGUGCUCAGUGUUUGCUGAAAGACAGCUACUCUCUGGCCAGCGUGAUAAGACAUUUAUUAGUUCAGAGCUAGAAAGAGCAAGAGUCCAAUAGCUUUUUCAGUAAAGGCUGUCUUGUGGCUGAGCAUCUAGCCUGCCCUCCUGACUCUACAGUUUGCCCUGCUAUUAAGGCACUUGAAAAAAGGGGGAGCAGGGAUGUCUCAGACUAAACUCCCCCCGAUUCUGAAGGCGGCCAGCAACAUCCCACCUGUUCCCCUUGGCCACAGCUCAGCAUGGAGAGCUGGCAGGGCAGGAGCUCCACAGGACAGAAGAGCGGCCCCUCAUGUGCUGGUGUCGGGCAGCACCACGUAGGAGCUGCUCUUGGGAGCACUGCUUUGGAUCAAGGUGUACAGGAAUCCGCGUGGAGGAAGACACUUGAUAGUAAGGCUAUAUGGCCUAAGGCCAUGGCUCCAGUCUGUCCCUCUCUAGGAGAGUGCUAGAAGCUGGAGAUGGAAGCAGGAUCUCAGAGUUCCCUACCGAAGCAGGAGCUAUCAACACAGGGAUGCACCGAGUCCUCCCAGCUCCGUCUCCAGGAGGUUAAUGCUCCUGCGAAAGCACCUCCGAAAGCGAGAUAAAGAGUAAAACGUGCCGCCCCAGAGAGAUCACCCAAACAAGUCGGGGGCAGCUGGAGCACACUCCCCAGAAUGUGUACGCACUUCGGGAAGGCUUCAGUGCCCUGAAACCUGGUGCUCUGAGCAGGGUCGCUGUCAGCACCUUAGGAGCUGAUCUGACUCAAAAGAGCAGAGAAGUCCAUGUCCGCAAUGGAGGAGAAGUCUUCAUCUCCUGAGAGACCAUUGGGAAGCCCCGAGGUCCCCAGGGGUGUGGGAGCUGGGUCAGGGGGCCUCUGGGACCCUGUCACCAGGCGAGUUAUAGCUUCAGGGUACUCCAUCAGCAUGGGCUCAGCUGUGGAGUGAGACAUGGACACACCCUGGUUCAGGAGCUGCUGAAACUCUGAGUUGUCCACAGAUGCCAGGUCUGUGAACACUCCUGGGUCUGUGCUGUUGCCAAGCAAGGCCCCCAAGUCUUCAUCAGCAUCAAACUGCAGGUGCAGCAGGGCUUCCGACAGCGUGCCUUCCCCAGCCUGGGUGCUCUUUGGAACAGGUGCAGACAGGGACUGGGGAGGACCCGGGGUUAGAACUGGGGCAGGAGCUGGGGGCUGAGCCAGAGGUACCAUGGCUGAGGAAGGGACCAUGGUCUGGGCAAGGACUGGGGCAGAGGACGGUGCCAAGGCCAGGGCCUGGUUUGAGAUCUGCCCUGAUGGUAACAGCAUGGGGGAAAACUCAUCAAAGUUGAUGGUGCUGAGGGAUGCUGGGAAGGUGUAGGGCUGCGGGGCUGGAGAGAGAGACAAAGAACAAAGGCUCAGAGGCAGUGAGAGACAUACACGGCCCCUCUGCCACCACCUGACCCAGCUCUACCAUGCUUAGAAUCAGUACCUUUCUGGGAACCAAAAUCUGACCAGGCCUGUAGGGUCCACUUCCAAGGGCCACAGUGAGGUGUUCCCUAGCUACUGCGGUCAUAAAGCUCUCACCAUGUUACAGCUGCAAAGCCAGCGAAGAGGAUGAACCAUGGAGCACGGGCUCAGUGGUGGGAGUCUGUCACUCUUGUGAGCCACGCACCAGAACCCACAACCUAUUAAUUUUUUUUUUUUCAGUUUUUCAAGACACGGUUUCUCUGUGUAGCCCUGGCUGUCCUGGAACUCACUCUGUAGACCAGGCUGGCCUCGAACUCAGAAAUCCGCCUGCCUCUGCCUCCCAAGUGCUAGGAUUAAAGGCAUGCGCCACUACCACCCAGCCCAGCUUAAUUUUUUAAAUAAAUGUUUUUAUUUG
rnacentral:lncRNA from 1 species